rnacentral:rRNA from 1 species
GAUGAACGCUAGCGGCAGGCUUAAUACAUGCAAGUCGAGGGGCAGCAUGAGUGUAGCAAUACAUUUGAUGGCGACCGGCAAACGGGUGCGGAACACGUACACAACCUUCCUAUAAGUGGGGAAUAGCCCAGAGAAAUUUGGAUUAAUACCCCGUAACAUAAUGAUGUGGCAUCACAUUAUUAUUAUAGCUUCGGCGCUUAUUGAUGGGUGGUCGGCUGAUUAGAUAGUUGGCGGGGUACGGCCCACCAAGUCUAGGAUAAGUAGCUGAUGUGAGAGCAUGAUCAGCCACACGGGCACGGAGACACGGGCCCGACUCCUACGGGAGGCAGCAGUAAGGAAUAUUGGUCAAUGGACGCAAGUCUGAACCAGCCAUGCCGCGUGAAGGAUUAAGGUCCUCUGGAUUGUAAACUUCUUUUAUCUGGGACGAAAAAAGGCGAUUCUUCGUCACUUGACGGUACCAGAUGAAUAAGCACCGACUAACUCCGUGCCAGCCGCCGCCGUAACAC